rnacentral:lncRNA from 1 species
AACAGCUGCCUUUUCUCCCUGUUUUUUCUUCCACUAUGGACAGUCUCUCUUGAAAGGACCGAACUCCUGGCACUUGAAGUAUUUUACUUCCUUCUUGCUCUUUGAGACUUUGAUCGUUCCUUAGACUUGCUUCUAUUUUGUCAUCUAUCUGAUCUCUCCCCUACGGCCAAGCCUUUCUGGGGAACACUCUCCUUGGUCAACUUCUCCCUCUGCUCGUU